rnacentral:lncRNA from 1 species
GCUACAGGAGGCAGGAGCUCUUAAAACUGCAUGCACAACUGGAGAGUGCAACCUGGGUGGCACCGUUCACAUUAGCACUAGGAGGCCGAAAGUCUCCCUAGGAAUCUGUGGUUUCGCAGCAAAUGAAAAAUGCCUCACAGCUGGAGCGAGGGAGACAAGAGGACAAAGAUGGAGGCAGAGCCACAGCUUUGAACCGGACACCUUCGAGGGUUCUCACUUUGCAUGACUAGGUCCUGUAGAUUAUGGAGCCAUGGGAAACAUCUCUCCUAUGGUUGUACUUUCUGCCCCUAGCAAGGCUCUGCCGACCUGAGUGUGUGAGUAGGCGACAACUCAAGAGUUCCAAGUCAACUUUUCACCUGGUGAGGAAGAGAAGGAAGCAAGACAGGGAUACAGAGUUGCCCAGGAGCCACACCAAGCUUGGGGACCCGGUGCAUGUCCCUCUCUGCCCAGCUGCCUGGUUCUGUGAGCCACAGCCAUCUUCUAAGAGAUCUGCAGUCAGUCAUGUGACCUUUCUCUGGUUCCACCACAGGACUUUCACUCCUCAUACCUCCCUGGGUACAGAAAAGGCAGGUGAGUGGAGCUUCCCCGUGACUGUCAUUGUUCACAAAAAACCACACACGACUGAGCUCUUGCAUUGGUGUAUGACGUGGGCACAGUGGAGGUGAUCAAUGAGUGACCAUCAGUGGACCAUCUGCAAAAGGUAGCUGAAUGCCAUUCCUGGGGGCAUCUGGGGGCAUUUCAAGAGGACACCAUCUUGGAGCUGGCACUGGACAGUGGCUAGCCUUCAGGGAUGGAACAUCUGUCAUGACUUCCUAACUCUGCGCCCAGCAGUAGCUCUCUCAGCGGCCAUCUGGGGACAUCAGAACAAGCACACAUAGGACAGGGCUGGUUUGAACUCUCAGCUCCCAGUUCCUGCCACUGUGCCUGCCUCUGUUUCUCUGGACUUGCCUCCUUUCUUAUACAACCUAGGACUGCCUUCUCAGGGUGGCACCACUCACCAUUAACCAAAACUUGCCCUCAGACCAAGCUGAUGAAAGUAUCUUCUUAAUUAAAGACCUUCUUCCUAAAUGAUCUUAGCUUGUGUUAGGCUCUCAAAAACUAACUGACUUAAGAGUCCAAGGCUAGAAGACUACAACCUGAGUAGGAACCUGGUGAUCCCACAAUACAGAAGGGAUGUGUAUUCUGAAGACGUCUCAUGUUUUGUCUACCCACAAGGAAGCCAAGCCUGUCUGGAGCAGAAGCCACAGAUAAAUCUACCCUAACAGGAUGGGACAAAUGACCAUGGCUUUCAGUGGAGGUUGACCCUCGUACCUCACACAUCCUCAGCACAUGCUUUCCCACUGACUAACAUCCCAGCCCUACGAGUGUCCUCAAACCCAACAGCAUCAUAGAACAUCUCAACAGGUCAGUCUCCAGUUCUCUCAAUGAAAACCACAGGUGACAUUUUCAGUUGUCACCAGAGUCACGCCUCAUAUGACGAAGUGGAAUGGAUCAAGGACAAUCCACUGCAGUAAUGCAAGACAGUGAGGACAUGGUUCAGCAAGCCAAGUAUUUGCCUCACUGGGUUCAGGGCCUGAGUUUGCUCCUCAGAAUACAUGUAAAGAUGUCCUAUUGUAUACCUAUAAUUAAACGGCUGGGGAGGCAGAAAUAGGCUGACCUCUG